GCUCCAGCUCCAGGCCGGGAAGAGGGGCUCCAGCGGGAGCUCAGCGCACCAUUCCUCAGCCCAGUCUGGGGGCCUACAGGUCAGGGGCAGAGGCGUCACCCAGGAGAGCGAGGGCCAGCGGGGGAAUGGGAGGCUCGGCUUCUCCAGGCCAGCCGAGUUCAGAGGAAGCCGGAGCCUUCAGGUCCCUUCAAGUUUGAGGCCAACUUUGCUGGUGCUGCUGACAGCACAGAUGGGCGGGGAAGCAAGAGAGCAGCUCCAAGGGCAGAGAGAAGACUGCUCCUCUCCUGAGCGAGGCUUAGGCUAAGUCAGGAAGGCUGUGUGUGUGUGUGUGUGUGUGUGUGCGCGCACACCACCCAGCCUCCCGCCUUCCCUGCCCUCCUUAGAGAUGCUUUUCAAUUCCCUUCUCCCCAGAGAACCGCCCAGCAGCACUCUGCCUCUGCCCCAGCCCAGCCCUGCCCAGCCCUGCCCAGCCCUGCCCAGAGGGACUUGGGCUGGCCUCUGGCUUCCAUUGCGGACCCAGGACCUGCUCCUCUGGACUGGGGGCAUCCCACCUUGACCUUGACCUCCACCCCCCAGAGGCCUCUAGGCCAGAGCCUGGCUCCUCCCUCCAGGAGCGGGGGGCUAGACUGGCCAGAGCCCAGCUCUCCAAGGAGACCAGAAAGCCCUCAGACCUCCUCCAGCACAUCCGUGUCCUCACCCCGGCAAGCAGUCCCUGCAACGUCAGCCAGGUCAGCCUGAGUGAGGCCUGACACGGACUCGGGAGCACUCGUCUUAGACACAGCAGCUCUCCAGACUUCUCUGAGGAGCCGGCCAUCCCGCACAUUUUCUCAGCAGCCUUGGCCCGAGGCCCCACUUUCCUGGAUUCCAAGUCUGCCCCUCUGCACUGGCCCCACUCGUCCCUGGGAGCUCCAGCCACCCACUGCUUGGGGUACAGACAGAACUUACUGACCCCCCAAUCCUUGGCCCUGCCUUCAGCUUCCUUCCCUGAGACUGGCCUAGACUCUGCUCAUUGCCACCCUCCCGGGGCUUAGCGCAGCUGCAGCUCUGCAGGGGGGCCAGAGAGGAAGCUUCCCAG
rnacentral:lncRNA from 1 species